AAUGAACGCUGGCGGCGUGCCUAAUACAUGCAAGUCGAGCGAACAGACCAGGAGCUUUCUCCUUCGACGGUAGCGGCGGGCGGGUGAGUAACACGUAGAUCACCUACCUAUAAGACUGUGAUAACUUCGGAAUACCGCAUCUACUACCGGAUAAUAUUUCGAACCGCAUGGUUCGAUAGUGAAAGAUGCCUUUGCUAACAGUUAUAGAUGGUCCUGGGCCGUAUUAGCUGGUUGGUAAGGUAACGGCUUACCAAGGCAACGAUACGUAGCCGACCUGAGAGGGUGAUCGGCCACACUGGAACUGAGACACGGUCCAGACUCCUACGGGAGGCAGCAGUAGGGAAUCGUCCGCAAUGGGCGAAAGCCUGACGGAGCAACGCCGCGUGAGUGAUGAAGGUCUUCGGAUCGUAAAACUCUGUUAUUAGGGAAGAACAAAAGUGUAAGUAACCGUGCACGUCUUGACGGUACCUAAUCAGAAAGCCACGGCUAACUACGUG
rnacentral:rRNA from 1 species